CUGUGAUCUUAUUAUGAUCUUUUAAAAUUCCCAGACUUAAGUUCUUUCUAUUACUCCCACUUCCCUUUAGCAAAUUAUUGAAAUUAUCUUUUACUAAAGGGUAGUUUACCCCCUUCCAUGUUUAAAAAAAAAAAGCAACCAUAAUUCUUUCAGUUGCAUGACUUUGUAACCAGAAAUCAGGAUUCUUUUUUAGGUUUCUGAUGUUGCCUGCUUCCUCUUCCAACUCAUGCAGUCACAAGCACCAAAAGAGAUUCCUGUUGGCUAAUCCUAUUGACAAUAAACAGACUUAAUGGUUGUUUAAGCACAUCAGACUACUCACCCUUUGAAUACACAGAAACCAGAUGUAACUUUAGGUCAGAAUCUGUUAAAAUGAAGCUCCACUUUUGUAAGCCCCACCAAUACCCUGCUGACAAUGGAUCAGUAAAGGUCAUGGGUUUCUCCCAAUGACGCACCUUCCUGCAUGGCUUCAAGACAUGCUAUGCCUCAGGUGAGUCAGGUUUCUGUUUUUCGGUGCCUCUGUCAGACAUGUGCUAGAAUGGAAAUUGAAAUUAUUUAUUUUCUAAGUGGCUGGGAGUGUUGAAGGGGGAGAGGCUUGCUGUUGGAUUUGACCUCUGAUUGUUCAGUAGCUGGUUCCUUAUUCCUCAAAAAAUGCUUCUGGUUUUGUUUCUCAGAAAUGAGAGGGAGGGAGGGAGGAAGGGAGACAGAGAAUGAGAGUUGUUGGACAAAAUGUUAGGUGAGACAGGUGCUUUUGUAAUUAGCUAGUACCAGUUAUUUCUAUUAAAAAAUUUUUUUUCUGUAAAUAGGCUUCAAUUAUCCCUGUUUGAUAUGUGUUUGAUUCUUAAAGGGUGCUGGGGGUGGGGGGAGUAGAAGUUUGUCAAGGUCAAGCGUGCUGAGCAGACUUUGCAGAGUUCCUAAGCGUUCUCCUAUGGAACCAGCCUUUUCACCCGAGCCAGUUUAUUUAUUUAUUAAGAAGGACAACCUUCAGCAAAGGUAUCUGCGCUCCUAAAACAACCGGAAUGCUGCACUGGCCUUCAGCCAGCAGCGGCUCAGUGAACAGGAUAAAAUUUCAGUUCAGAUUUACGGGAAGUUGCUGGUGUUAGGGAGUAAAAAUCUGGUUUGGUGAGUUUAAGGGAAGGGAGUAUACAAGAGACAACCUUGCUACUGUGAAGCGAGAGAACCAGAAAAGGGGGCGGGGGGAGUGGGGCCAGGGAAAAGAAGAUCGAGAUGGGACACUGAACUUUUCCCUUUUCUCAUACACGGGUUUUAGGCUGGGCUCCGGAGGGUUCCCACAGCUUCCCGAGUUGGUGGGCAGGAGGGAACCGAGCCUCUGAGAGUGUAUUAGCUGGAUUUUGCUGUUUUGUGUCCAGGCAGGAAUUUGGUUUGAGAGUUGCCUUUUCUGAUUAGCGCUCCUGUUUAAGACUGGAAUGUGCGGCUUAGGUCAGGGGAA
rnacentral:lncRNA from 1 species